rnacentral:lncRNA from 1 species
GAAAAGAAAAGAAAAAUAAUACCAUGUGGUAUUAUAUUAGUAUUUCUUUUCUCUCCCUCUCUCUUCUUUUCUUUCUUUUUCUUUUUCACUCUUUCUCUCUCUCUUCUCUCCCCUUUUCUUCCGUGCGGACAGCCCCCUCCCCACGCCAACUCUCUCUUUCUCUCUCCCUUUGACCAUUCAACCUUAUCUCUUCUUAUCUCUCCUCUCUCUUCUCCCCCACGUGACCUUCUUCUUCUUCUUCAUUCUUCUUUGUGCGAACCAGACCAAAACCAGCAAAGAAGAGCAGCAGCUCGCCGAGGACCACCGUCGCCCGUCCCGCCGUCGCACCGGAGCCGAACCGCCCGCGACGCCGCCCGCACAACGCAGCGCGUUCCGCCGGCCAUCCCUCGCGCCCAGGCGUGCUCCCCCGCGCGAUCCAGCUGCUACCCAUCCUCUGUCCAGCUCUGUUCGGCCACGAUCCGGCCACCUCCGGCCACCGUGGGCCACCGCUCGGCCUCGCCAAGCCACCACCCGCUCUCCCGACCUCUUGCCGCCCCCAACCCUCUCUCUUUCUUGCUGUUUUGCGGCCGAACCAGCAAACCCACGGAGUGGGUAUCCAGCUGUUCGUGGGCCAUUUUGGGCCGUUUCCCGGCCCCGAACCCGAGGCCCGCUUUGGGAAGAAUUGUUCCUCGCGCCGCCGCCGUCGGAUUGAUCCGAUUUGCGCGCGAUUUGGUGAGUAAUCUCACUAAUCCUGGAUUAGUUGGCUAAUUAUGCUUAAGGUUGGUUUAGUUUUAAUUAAUUAUGUUUAGGUUGUUAGAUUAGAAUUAAUUAGCAAUUAUUAGUCAAUUGUGAUGUGAUUUAGAUAAAUUGAUUGUGCAAUUAGCAAGUAGACGUGGUCUACUAUUUAUUGGAAGUAUCUCGGGAAUUUUCCGACCCCUAAUUGGGCUUCAAUUUGGCAAUUCGGGCCUAAGUGAGAUUUUUGGGCAUUUAAAUAUUAAUUUUCGGAAUUAAAUUAAAUAAUUAUUUAUUUUCCGAAUCAAGGGAGAUGGUUUGUGACCGGAAAAUUAUGCUGGUGACCGUGGUGAAGUCCGUUUAUUUAAUUGGGCUUUAAAUUGAGUUAAAUCGAAUUUUUAAUACUAAUUAUUUAAUUUUCGAAAUUUAUUAAUUAAUUAAUUAUUUUCCGAAAAUUCAACUGGGAUGGCCCGUGACUGGAAAAUUAUGCUGAUGACCGUGGUGAAGUCCUUUUAUUUAAUUGGGCCUUAUUUUGAGCUAAACGGAAUUUUUUAAUGUUUAAUAAUUAAUUUUCGAAAUUAAUUAAUAAUUAAUUAUUUUUCGGAAAUUAAGAUUGAGAUGGCCGACGACCGAAAUCUCGUGUUGAUUGUAGUGGUGCGGUCUGUUUAAUUAUUUGAGCUUUGACUUGUGCCUAAUUAAAUUGAAUGUGGAAUUUCGGAUAUAUUCCGAAAUGGUUGUGGUUUAACUAUUCAUUGAGAAACCAUUGAAUCUUGAAAGUGGUCGAGUGGGACCGUAAAGCCAUUGAAUCUUGCAAGUGGUCGAGUGGGACCGUAAAGCCAUUGAAUCUUGCAAGUGGUCGAGUGGGACCGUAAAGCCAUUGAAUCUUGAAAGUGGUCGAGUGGGACCGUAAAGCCAUUGAAUCUUGCAAGUGGUCGAGUGGGACCGUAAAGCCAUUGAAUCUUGCAAGUGGUCGAGUGGGACCGUAAAGCCAUUGAAUCUUGCAAGUGGUCGAGUGGGACCGUAAAGCCAUUGAAUCUUGAAAGUGGUCGAGUGGGACCGUAAAGCCAUUGAAUCUUGCAAGUGGUCGAGUGGGACCGUAAAGCCAUUGAAUCUUGAAAGUGGUCGAGUGGGACCGUAAAGCCAUUGAAUCUUGCAAGUGGUCGAGUGGGACCGUAAAGCCAUUGAAUCUUGCAAGUGGUCGAGUGGGACCGUAAAGCCAUUGAAUCUUGCAAGUGGUCGAGUGGGACCGUAAAGCCAUUGAAUCUUGAAAGUGGUCGAGUGGGACCAUAAAGCCAUUGAAUCUUGCAAGUGGUCGAGUGGGACCGUAAAGCCAUUGAAUCUUGCAAGUGGUCGAGUGGGACCGUAAAGCCAUUGAAUCUUGAAAGUGGUCGAGUGGGACCGUAAAGCCAUUGAAUCUUGCAAGUGGUCGAGUGGGACCGUAAAGCCAUUGAAUCUUGCAAGUGGUCGAGUGGGACCGUAAAGCCAUUGAAUCUUGCAAGUGGUCGAGUGGGACCGUAAAGCCAUUGAAUCUUGCAAGUGGUCGAGUGGGACCGUAAAGCCAUUGAAUCUUGCAAGUGGUCGAGUGGGACCGUAAAGCCAUUGAAUCUUGAAAGUGGUCGAGUGGGACCGUAAAGCCAUUGAAUCUUGCAAGUGGUCGAGUGGGACCGUAAAGCCAUUGAAUCUUGCAAGUGGUCGAGUGGGACCGUAAAGCCAUUGAAUCUUGAAAGUGGUCGAGUGGGACCGUAAAGCCAUUGAAUCUUGCAAGUGGACGAGUGGGACCGUAAAGCCAUUGAAUUUCGAAAGUGGUCGAGUGGGACCGUAAAGCCAUUAAAUAUUGAAUGUUGUCGAGUGGUGGACUGUGUCUUCCACCUUUGCUUAAGAUGUGAUCUGAGGACCGUAGUUCGUAAUUGAUGAUUGAGAUGGAAUAAUCGAAUUUACGUAGAAUGGUCCGUCUGACAUGUAAUCGACGAGGUCGAUUGAUCAUUGCUUUGAUUUGAUGUCGUGGAUUGAUUGACUGAUUAAAAAUGACCAUGAGCGGUCUUGUUGGCUUGUAAUCGACUGGGUCGAUUAGAUCGAUGCUUCGAUCGGUGAUAUGAUUGUUUGAGUUUCUAUUAUGAAUUGUACUGACUUGCAGGUGGGAUCUGAUGCUAAGGUACGUCCUCUGCCCUGUGCGUGUUUAGGCAUCCUAUAGUAUAGUGGUUUACUAAUUGGGCUUAGUGGGGUAGAACUCGCUGAGACGUAGUCUCAUCCCAGUUUGGGGAAAAACAUUUCAGGACCCGAUAAGGAGCUGAGGAGGAGAAGUCUGGGAAGGAGAUCUUGGAGGUGAAACUUGAAGGGAAGGAUUUUGAAAGAAUAAGAUAAUACCGAGAUGGGCCUUGAGGAUGGCAUGGAUGGAUUGAGAUCCUAUCUUCUUUUGAGAUCUCCAUUUUGAUGUGAAUAGUUUUGAAGUGGUUUUUGUUUUGUAUAAAAGUUUGG